GGCCUUUAUAGGUUGACAGAACAGCUUCAGAGAUGACAGGAAACAGGAUGAAAGGAGACCAGGACGGGACUCGAACCCUGGUCCGCUGCAGCGGGGAGGGAACCUCUAAUGACACACCUGGUAACCACCUGAGCUAACAGACGACGCUGGCAUUGCCACUGCUAACAGUCACUCAAAACAAGUCGCUAGUUUAGGUGAAGUCGGCAUGAAAGCUUUUGUAAUUAAUUGACAUUAUCAUCUUACUACAUCCAAAUUAAUCAAUUAUGAACCUUGUGUUUUGUUCGGUGCACCAAACCUCAUUUGGAUUUUGAAGGUUUUUACUCUGCCGUGUUUAUAACCAGAAUAAUGCCGCAGUAAAUUCCAUUUGGGACACUAUCUUAAAACAAGUCGCUAGUUUAGGUGAAGUCGGCAUGAAACAUUGAUUAAUUUAUUGAUUUUUUUUUAAGACAGCAUGACACAUUGUCUGCUAACGUUUACUGUAGGUGUGGGUGGUUAUGAUCGCUGUUAGCUAGCUGACUUUAAAGUAGUCACAUAUGCAAUGAAGGCUUUGGGAAAGCAGCGGCUCAGCUUCCUUUAUUAACUACUAACGACACAUGAACCAGGAGUCAACACACUGAGGGUCCCUGAGAGACCUGAGGACUGGUGGAGCUGAACAGAACAGUCCUGAACAGUCUCACUGCCUCUCACACCCCAAGUGAAACGUCAGACCUGUCUGCUGUGUUUCUGUGAGCCCUGUGCUGAGUUCAGUGUUCAGAACUGUGCAGAAAGUUGACCAGGAAGCAGCUUCAAGUGGUGCGAACUCUGAGGAGAGAUACCUGUUCUCACAGAGACCAAACAAAGGUGACGGACGAGUCUAAAGGAAGAAUCCCAAAGACGAGCAGUCAGAACCAGACGAGCCACAACAGGAUCCUGAAGCAGACGACUGAGUGUCUGAGUGUCUGUCUUCUGAUGAAACUCCUUCAGGUCGUGCAGGUGUUUGUUGACAACAGUUUCACCUGCUCAGACAGUGAGCACUGUUGUCUUUACUGGCUAUUUACCUACUAAACCCUUUGUCUCCUCUCAGUGUCAUUGCCAAAGCUUUAACUAUAUUUAAUACAUACAAUUUCUUCUGCAAGAGAGACCAGGCCUUCCGUUAGCAUUUCAUUUGUUUUUAUCUGUAGCUAAUUAUAUUUUAUUUUUUUCUCCUUCUGUCUUUGAGAGGCUGUUUUAAUGUCCGAAUGUUUUAGUUUGGAUUAAUUUAUUUUUCGUUUAGAUCUCUAAAACUCAUUUUAAACUGAGUACCUACUAAUAUAAAAUAUAAAAUGGGACCUGAACUAAAUCCAGUAGUUGUUUCAGUCAGGAUAGUUUACAGACUCGCACCAGUAUUUGACAGAUUUUUCUCUGAAUGCUUUUUUUGCCUAAGCCUAAAUAUGCUCUCUGAACUUUGAAAACUAAUGUACAUGUUUUAUGUGAUCACAGCAAAGGAAAACGUUUUUUAAUGUAUUUUUUGAAAUAUAUACAAUAUGAUCUUAACAUAAAAGUGUUUGGUGUAGCUGAGCUGAGCUUUACUCCUGAACAGUCUCACUGCCUCUCACACCAUCAAGGUAAAAAGCAUCUCAUGUUAAACUUCUGCUGUGUGUUGUAAACAACAAAUGAGAGCGUGCUAACAGAUAUAAAGUCUCGGAUCGUACUGUGAAGUGUGUGAAUGUGCAGGUUGUGUUGAUCUCUGAGCAGGACAAGAAGACAAGCUAGCAGCUUUCUGAUUGGUCGGCGCCGGUGACGAGGCCUGUUGCAUUCAGGACAUGUUGGAAAUGAUAGACUUUUGGUUUAAAUAUGAACAGCUGUUCUUAUCAGCCUUGUAGUGACAAAAAAAAAUAAAAAAUCAGGGUUGGAUGGUAACCAAGCACAGUUACUCAGGUACUCGGGUCCAUUAUGAGGUUCUUGUACUUUACAGUUGAAGUGUUCCAGGCUAGAAACUUAAGAUAAAUGUCAGUUCAAGCAGCUACGUUGUUCAUUCCUGCUAACAUGUUAUUGCAUCACACACAUAAUAAACAGGACACACUGAAUACUUUUUUUUUUAUUCUUAUACCUCUAUGCUUUUACUAUAAUUUGAAUGCAGUACUUUGACUUGUGUUGGUGUCGUUAUGUAAUGUGGUAUUUUGACUUCUGUAAAUGAUGUGAAUACUUGUUACACCACUGGAAACAAUAAAGCUGUCCUGCAAGUCACAAGUUUUG
ensembl:lncRNA